GACGAACGCUGGCGGCGUGCUUAACACAUGCAAGUCGAACGCUGAAGCUUGGUGCUUGCACUGGGUGGAUGAGUGGCGCACGGGUGAGUAAUACGUGAGUAACCUGCCCUUGACUCUGGGAUAAGCCUGGGAAACUGGGUCUAAUACUGGAUAUGACAUGCCACUGCAUGGUGGUGUGUGGAAAGGGUUUUACUGGUUUUGGAUGGGCUCACGGCCUAUCAGCUUGUUGGUGAGGUAAUGGCCUACCAAGGCGACGACGGGUAGCCGGCCUGAGAGGGUGACCGGCCACACUGGGACUGAGACACGGCCCAGACUCCUACGGGAGGCAGCAGUGGGGAAUAUUGCACAAUGGGCGGAAGCCUGAUGCAGCGACGCCGCGUGAGGGAUGACGGCCUUCGGGUUGUAAACCUCUUUCAGCACGGAAGAAGCGAGAGUGACGGUACGUGCAGAAGAAGCGCCGGCUAACUACGUG
rnacentral:rRNA from 1 species